rnacentral:rRNA from 1 species
AUUGAACGCUGGCGGCAGGCCUAACACAUGCAAGUCGAGCGGAUGAAGGGAGCUUGCUCCUGGAUUCAGCGGCGGACGGGUGAGUAAUGCCUAGGAAUCUGCCUGGUAGUGGGGGAUAACGUCCGGAAACGGGCGCUAAUACCGCAUACGUCCUGAGGGAGAAAGUGGGGGAUCUUCGGACCUCACGCUAUCAGAUGAGCCUAGGUCGGAUUAGCUAGUUGGUGGGGUAAAGGCCUACCAAGGCGACGAUCCGUAACUGGUCUGAGAGGAUGAUCAGUCACACUGGCACUGAGACACGGUCCAGACUCCUACGGGAGGCAGCAGUGGGGAAUAUUGGACAAUGGGCGAAAGCCUGAUCCAGCAAUGCCGCGUGUGUGAAGAAGGUCUUCGGAUUGUAAAGCACUUUAAGUUGGGAGGAAGGGCAGUAAGUUAAUACCUUGCUGUUUUGACGUUACCAACAGAAUAAGCACCGGCUAACUUCGUG